AGCUCCAAUAGCGUAUAUUAAAGUUGUUGCGGUUAAAAAGCUCGUAGUUGGAUUUCUGUCGAGGACGACCGGUCCGUACUUUGUGCGUGUAUCUGGCUCGGCCUUGGCAUCCUCUCGGGGAACGUUUCUGUGUUUCAUUACAUGGGGCGGUAUUCGGGACUUUUACUUUGAGGAAAUUAGAGUGUUCACGGCAGGCUUUCGCCUUGAAUACAUUAGCAUGGAAUAAUAAUAUAGGACCUUGGUACUAUUUUGUUGGUUUCUAGAACUAAGGUAAUGAUUAAUAGGGAUAAUUGGGGGCAUUCGUAUUAACGCGUCAGAGGUGGAAUUCUUGGAUUGCGUUACGACGAACUACUGCGAAAGCAUUUGCCAAGGAUGUUUUCA
rnacentral:rRNA from 1 species